GGGUUGUGAGGUUAAGCGACUAAGCGUACACGGUGGAUGCCCUGGCAGUCAGAGGCGAUGAAGGACGUGCUAAUCUGCGAAAAGCGUCGGUAAGGUGAUAUGAACCGUUAUAGCCGGCGAUGUCCGAAUGGGGAAACCCAGUGCAAUUCGUUGCACUAUCGUUAACUGAAUACAUAGGUUAACGAGGCGAACCGGGGGAACUGAAACAUCUAAGUACCCCGAGGAAAAGAAAUCAACCGAGAUUCCCCCAGUAGCGGCGAGCGAACGGGGAGCAGCCCAGAGUCUGAAUCAGCUUGUGUGUUAGUGGAACGGUCUGGAAAGUCCGACGGUACAGGGUGAUAGUCCCGUACACCAAAAUGCACAGGUUGUGAACUCGAAGAGUAGGGCGGGACACGUGGUAUCCUGUCUGAAUAUGGGGGGACCAUCCUCCAAGGCUAAAUACUCCUGACUGACCGAUAGUGAACCAGUACCGUGAGGGAAAGGCGAAAAGAACCCCGGCGAGGGGAGUGAAAAAGAACCUGAAACCGUGUACGUACAAGCAGUGGGAGCACCUU
rnacentral:rRNA from 1 species